UGACAGCAUGGUGAUGAUGGCAAUGGGAAAGGCUCUUGGAAAGCACAUGUUAAGAGGGGUGAAGGUUGUGGGGUGGUUAGGAAUGUUCUUAGGAGACAUUUGUAUAGAGGCCAAAGAGAGGAUGGUGCAGAUGAAGAGAAUGUUAUCUAGAGUUGUAAGGAGCCCAGAAGAAGACAGGAGAACCAAUUCUAAGCUGGCUAGGGAGAUAUUGUGUUACAGGUGCCAGCAUUCUAGAGGUUGGUGACAAGCCUGCAAACCACAUAGGGCCACUUAAAAAGGCAAGUGGAAUCGACUAAUACAUAGCAAGCUCUCUUGGUAAGAUUACACUGUGGGCAUGCCUUUGGUUGGCUGUGCUACUGAGGUACCCUUCUGGAGGAGAUUUGCCACAGACAUCUAGGAAGUGGACCACACUUGAGCAGGGAAUUAAGCUUCUGAGGGAGUUUGCUGUAAAGGAAAUACUUUCUGGAGAUGACGGUAUGCAGAAUCCUGAUGAAAUUCCUGUUGGAAAAUGUCUUUGAAAGAAACUUCUUGACAUUAGAUGGAGGAGCAAGUUUAAUAGUUUGGUAAACAGGUUUGUGUGAGAGAACAACGAUGGAAGACUUCCUACAGUUGGUGAAUUCCCUGACCAAAUGAGGCAGUUAGAGGACAUUUUGUCCCACACUUCUUUAGUGUCUGCUUUAAAAACUCAGGCUGCAGAAACGAAAGGUAGAAUAAAAAAGAUGGAGGAGGCCCUUAAAAUCUCCAUAUCUAAGUUGGUGAAGGAAAAAGCAUUUCAUCUGGAGAUGAAUCCAGUACCAGUUGAACAGUUUACCUCAGGAGUGGAAACACAGUUGGACAAUGUGUCAUUCGGUCAUCCACAAUGCAUUGGAGAAAGGUAAAGUCCCAGAACAUCUGCAAUUCAUCAAUGACAACAUUGUGUGGGACCAAACUGCUGAGGAAGCCUUUGAGAAAGGUAACACAAUAAUUGACAUUUGGUUGAAGGCAGGUUUUACCAUAAAGAGGACAAAGUAAAAGGACCUGCCAGACAAAUACAGGCAGGAUGGUCACUGUCCCAUUCCACAGGAUGUGCUAAAGGAAUUCUCCACCAUGGCAGUUCCUGUGACUAAAGAAGACCCUUCCAGUUUCUUGGGUGCAGUGGGAUUUUUGGAAACCUGGAUUCAGUCAGAUUGUUAAACCUCUGCAAGAUGUGACUUGUGAAAGGAGCAAUUUUGAGUAGGGACCUGAGCAGCAAGCAGCCUUUGAUCAGAUCAAACGAUUCCUGUCGUCUUGUCGGGAAGAAGCAAAGAUGGAAGUCAGCAGUCUGGAGUCCCGGCAGGAGAGUUACAGAAGUGAGAGAUGGAGAAGGUGAAUCCAGUCAAUUUGCUGAAGUAAAAGCUGUCCAGCUUGCUCUUGAUGUGGCCGAAUGUGAAAACUUGGCUAUCCUUUACCUCUACGCUGACUCGUGGGUGGUAGCCAAUACUCUAUAGGGUUGUCUAAAAGACUGGAAAAAGAACUGGUGGCAGAUGAAUAAAAGUCUAUUUGGUGUGCUGGUCUAUGGGAGGAAAUUGAUGGUUGCCUUGAGAAAAUGCCAGUGCAAGUGCAGCGCAGAAACACACACAGGCCUAAGAACAAAGCUACUCAGGAACAUAAACACAACCAUGGGGCAGAUCAAGCUGCUAGAGUUUCUCAAGUUGAUACAAAGUAUGAUCUUGACCUCGAUAGGAAACAUGGAGGUGAGCUGUUCUGGGCUUGGUGGGCCCUUCAUUCAUUUGGACACCAAGGCCGAGAUGCAACUUACUGGUGAGCAUGUGACACGUCAAUGGACUUCUCCAUGGAUCACAGGAUAUUAGGGGUUGGUAGGUAAAUAGGGUGUGUGAUACGGUAGAAGUAACCACUAGGUGUGUGGAAUAGGCUGCAUGCUGUUUUUUAAUGAACGAAUCACAAGAUGCCAGAAUGUACUAACUGCCACAUGAACAGAACUCAAAAAGUGUCUAAGAGAUACACAGUAAAGGUCUUGGGAAUCUUGCGGCGUUUGCCACAGUCGAGGUUCUGUAAACAGAACGGGACCUGCACAAUCAGGUUUGUUGCAAACAGUGGAUGGUAAUAAAAUUCCUGUUGUGCGUGAAAAGAAUCUGUUAGGAAAAGCUGUUUGGGAACUUUCUCCUUUGGGUGAAGAGAAACCUGUGCGAGGGGUGGUUUCCGCUGAAGGUCCUGGUCAUCCAUACCGGGUAAUGCAGGAGAAUGGUGAAAUCCAGUGUAUUCCAGGAAGAAAUCUAACUUUAGAUGAGAGACUUAAACCUCAGAGCGCAUAAUAGAAGCUGUAAGAACUUGUGUUUGGGGUACAAUGCGGCAUCAAAAAGACGAAUCUUUGAGAGAUCUACAGUACAAGGGCAUGAAGCUAUGUCACUUGGGAGUUCCUGUUUUCAUGUCAUCUGUGAAGAGACAAACCGUUUCCUGUCUUCUGGUCUUUUGAGUCGCCUACAUCUAAGAUAGCUGGAAUGAAGUAUGAAGUGGUGUUGCAGAGGGGAAAUGAAUUGGUGGGAGAUGAUAGUCUACAAAAACAUAUAAUUUAUUAACUUUAAUAUUCUGAACUCUUGCCAACCCCAACCACUGAAUUGUAAUAUUAAUAUUUGUUCUUACAUGCUUAUGGAAGACAUUCUAGGAAUAUCAGCAAACAGAACUAUUAUUAUCUAGCAAACAUUCAAACUAUAAACAGAGAGAGGAAUUUCCCCACAGCCAAAUGCCACUUGGGGUCAAUCUGCUGCUUGCCCACUAGGUGGGCGGAAGCUCGUUCUGCUUUAUGGCAGAAGGCAGUAGAGAAUUACAGAGACAUUUAAAGCAUUUACUCACAAAUUCCUAUUAAUCGUCAAUCACCCUCCGGGGCUACGUCACAGCCUAUACAAGUGUCCAAUCUUCAGGGAGCUCUGCCCAUGGACUUCAAGGCUGAGUUCCUCCUGGUUUCAGGGGAAAGGAUGCAGACGUGCAGACAAUCUCUGACUUUGUUCUCAUGUCUUCUUCUGACAGGACCUGAGGUGCAGGAGGAUGUCAUACAGUCUCAGCACGACGUCCCGCUGGCCAUGCAGGCCGAUCACGUGCAGACAGUCAAGGGUCUGCUCCUGGUAACUUGCGGCAGUGGAGUUUACCAGGCAGCAGUAAGGCAGCGGUCGUGCAAUAGGGUGGACGGGAGACUGGGCUCCGUAGAGAAAGGCAGGCAAUACAAGCAAAUAGCAACAAGCAGUGAAGCAAAAGCAAGCAAGCAGGCAGGCACUUUGUUUACCUGUGUACCUCCUAUUUAUCACAUGUGGGCUGAGAAUAAUGGCCCCUUGGCUGUCAGAAUGACCAAUGAGCUUGGCAGUUAACCAAAGCAUACCAUAAUAGGCAAGGGCCACAGGCCUGGCCUCCUCCAAAUAUGGGGCUAGCAUGGGCCUUGCACCUAGUAAGCUGCAAGCUAGGUGCAUGGGCUUACCCAAGCGCGUUACACAACUUGGGCCCUGGGCAGGCCAGACUUUAUGGCGCCAGGUCUAUUGUGGCCUUUUUGCAUUUGUUUGUAUCCGUUUAAUGCGUUUACCCCUGGUGCGGGCAGAAAAACACGUCCAGGCAAGACAGAACAUGUAUAAGCCUAUUUUGGGCAACUGGAAACACAGACUUUACAAGGAUGGAUAAAUAUUUUUUUAGAUUUGACAGAUGACUGUAUGUAAAACAGUGAAUGAUCUAGAGGAGUGAUUUGUCAUGGUUUGAGGCCAAUUGCGAUAUUUUAAUGAAGGAAUGAGAUGAUUGGUUGUAAAAGGAAAAUAAUGAUGAAGUCUGUCAUUCAUUGGUCUGCUUUCUGGGAUAGAAAGAAUGUCAACAAUUUGUACCACUCUGGUCUGUGAUGCUGGAUCUAAUAGCUUCCUCCUCAUUCUGUUCUGGUGUCUGUUCUACUGAUUGUGGCUAUCAGGAAACAAUGUUUCAGCCGCUCACAGUUACUUAAAACUUGCUGUAAGGGGCCACUAGGCUCUUUUGUGUGUGGCACACUGGGGUAACCUUACAGGGCCUCCUGUAAUACUAGAGAAUUCCUAAGACAUCACUCUAAGUGCUCUGUGGGUAUGGGCACACCAAUAUUGGUAGGCUCUUCUCCUGUUGCGUCUACAAUUCUUUGUCUGCCCUUGCAGAUCAACUCACCUAUUGCUUCCAUUUGAGUUUGAAUGCUUGUUUUUGGUCGAUUAUAAGAUUGCAUUGUUUGUCAAGGGCACUGCUUGCCUGGGGAUCCUUUCCCCCUUUUCCUUUUUACCAUUGACAAACCACGGCAAAAGAGCGCGUGACACGGUUACGGACGAGCAGCAAUAGCGAUAGUUCAGCGAGUCGUCGGCUGACAGCACCGGCAGCAAUCUUUUGAGCAAACUUCCGCAAGACAGACUCAAGGAGAAACCGUUAUAGAUUGACAGGCAUCAGUACCACAGAAAAGUGGCAGAAGAGGAGCAAUAUCGGCAUUAGCGAUACCCACAGCGUUUCUAAGCCACUGAAUGUUGCCCAGGAGCGUCUGCGCAUCAGUAAGGAUAGUUAACUUUACAUCCAAUUCAACCUUUGGUGGCUGAAUAACUGAAUCAGAAUUUUUCUACUGUAGAUAAUUCCAAGGCGCCCUCUGCUCAUCCUUCUCAGCUGCUACUGUUAAACCUUUCUCCCUCAGUUUUGCAGUGAUGUGGUUUGUAUCUUGAUCAGUGAAUUGUGUCCGUCUGCAGAACAGCAUGUCAUGCAUAUAGUGGUAAAUGAUGACCUCAGACCAGAGGAUCAAAUGGGUGCCAAAGCCCAAGCCACAUAUAGUU